rnacentral:tRNA from 1 species
GGAGAGUUGGCCGAGUGGUAAGGCAGCGGCUUGCUGAGCCGUCGUCGGGGUCACACCCACGCGCGUUCGAUCCGCGCACUCUGCG